rnacentral:rRNA from 1 species
AGGAAAAGAAACUAACAAGGAUUCCCCUAGUAACGGCGAGUGAAGCGGGAAGAGCUCAAAUUUGAAAUCUGGCAGUCUUCGAUUGUCCGAGUUGUAAUCUAUAGAGGCGUUUUCCGUGCCGGACCGUGUCCAAGUCUCCUGGAAAGGAGUAUCAAAGAGGGUGAUAAUCCCGUACUUAACACGACCACCGGUGCUCUGUGAUACGUCUUCUACGAGUCGAGUUGUUUGGGAAUGCAGCUCAAAAUGGGUGGUGAAUUCCAUCUAAAGCUAAAUAUUGGCGAGAGACCGAUAGCGAACAAGUACCGUGAGGGAAAGAUGAAAAGCACUUUGGAAAGAGAGUUAAACAGUACGUGAAAUUGUUGAAAGGGAAACGAUUGAAGUCAGUCGUGUUCUUUGGAUUCAGCCAGUUCUGCUGGUCUACUUCCUUUGAACGGGUCAACAUCAGUUUUGUCCGGUGGAUAAAGGCAGUAGGAAUGUAGCUUCUCCGGAAGUGUUAUAGCCUAUUGUCACAUACACUGGGUGAGACUGAGGACUGCAGCUCGCCUUU